rnacentral:rRNA from 1 species
GACGAACGCUGGCGGCGUGCUUAACACAUGCAAGUCGAACGGUGAAGCUCCAGCUUGCUGGAGUGGAUCAGUGGCGAACGGGUGAGUAACACGUGAGCAACCUGCCCCUGACUCUGGAAUAAGCGCUGGAAACGGCGUCUAAUACUGGAUACGAGAAGGGUCCGCAUGGGCACUUUCUGGAAAGUUUCUCGGUUGGGGAUGGGCUCGCGGCCUAUCAGCUUGUUGGUGAGGUAAUGGCUCACCAAGGCGACGACGGGUAGCCGGCCUGAGAGGGCGACCGGCCACACUGGGACUGAGACACGGCCCAGACUCCUACGGGAGGCAGCAGUGGGGAAUAUUGCACAAUGGGCGAAAGCCUGAUGCAGCGACGCCGCGUGAGGGAUGACGGCCUUCGGGUUGUAAACCUCUUUCAGCAGGGAAGAAGCGAAAGUGACGGUACCUGCAGAAGAAGCACCGGCUAACUACGUG